GAUGCUGCAUGCAUUGUGUGAUGUCUUUAUUUGCUGCCUCUCAGUCUUACUUUGCUAAUCCCUCCUGCACUAAUCUCUUUUAUCUUUUUCUGUCGUCUUUUGUUUCCAUUCUGGCUACAAAACUGAGUAUGCACAUCUAUUCCUGCCGAGCUAGAGACUUUUACCUGAACUUUGACUUUGCAUCCUGGGGUCACGACCAUUGCCCAGAGUGACCAAAAUUAAAACAGAAGAUGCUGCCGGAAGUGCCAAGCAGGGGGGAUAUACUCACGAUACAGUAUUCCACAUCAUGGGAAACCAGAAUGGCAACAAGGGUGGCCUGGAGAAUCAGGGGCCAUCUCAGAGUCAGAGCCAUCCCCAAGUGAACCAAGUGGAUCAGAGUCAACCCAAAUGAUCUGCUGAGUGCUUGUGCACGUGUUGGUUGGGUGUCAGCACGCUGCCUCCACCGACAUCCCGCAGGAAGACAUCUUGGGCUGUUCUUCUCAUCUGGGAAAAACAAAACAUCCACCGGACUCCAAAUGCCAUUAUUUAUGAAGCUAUGCUAGUCUGCACAUGAAGGAAUGGAUGGAGGCUGUGUUGUAUACUUCAAGCAGACUAAGUCAUGUAUAAUAUAUGAUUGUUUUAGCGUCAUAAAGCCAUGUGGUGGAUGCAGCUCUCAAAAGCACCAAAACAAGACUUUUCUACUUUCCACACAAAUAAAACAUUUCAAGGAAGACGUUUGGUCAACUUGGAAAUGAUUGACAGCAGCGAGGAGAGAAAAAGCUCAAACACACGCUCGUUGUCCGGCGG